rnacentral:rRNA from 1 species
CCUACGGGAGGCAGCAGUGAGGAAUAUUGGUCAAUGGACGAGAGUCUGAACCAGCCAAGUAGCGUGAAGGAUGACUGCCCUAUGGGUUGUAAACUUCUUUUAUAUGGGAAUAAAAUGUUCCACGUGUGGGAUUUUGUAUGUACCAUAUGAAUAAGGAUCGGCUAACUCCGUGCCAGCAGCCGCGGUAAUACGGAGGAUCCGAGCGUUAUCCGGAUUUAUUGGGUUUAAAGGGAGCGUAGGUGGAUUGUUAAGUCAGUUGUGAAAGUUUGCGGCUCAACCGUAAAAUUGCAGUUGAAACUGGCAGUCGUGAGUACAGUAGAGGUGGGCGGAAUUCGUGGUGUAGCGGUGAAAUGCUUAGAUAUCACGAAGAACUCCGAUUGCGAAGGCAGCUCACUGGACUGCAACUGACACUGAGGCUCGAAAGUGUGGGUAUCAAACAGGAUUAGACACCCUAGUAGUC